rnacentral:rRNA from 1 species
UGGGGAAUAUUGGACAAUGGGCGAAAGCCUGAUCCAGCCAUGCCGCGUGUGUGAAGAAGGUCUUCGGAUUGUAAAGCACUUUAAGUUGGGAGGAAGGGCAGUAAGCUAAUACCUUGCUGUUUUGACGUUACCGACAGAAUAAGCACCGGCUAACUCUGUGCCAGCAGCCGCGGUAAUACAGAGGGUGCAAGCGUUAAUCGGAAUUACUGGGCGUAAAGCGCGCGUAGGUGGUCUGUUAAGUUGGAUGUGAAAGCCCCGGGCUCAACCUGGGAACUGCAUCCAAAACUGGCAAGCUAGAGUACGGUAGAGGGUGGUGGAAUUUCCUGUGUAGCGGUGAAAUGCGUAGAUAUAGGAAGGAACACCAGUGGCGAAGGCGACCACCUGGACUGAUACUGACACUGAGGUGCGAAAGCGUGGGGAGCAAACA